AUGUGAACGUUACCAAACUGUUGCCUCGGCGGGAUCUCUGCCCCGGGUGCGUCGCAGCCCCGGACCAAGGCGCCCGCCGGAGGACCAACCAAAACUCUUAUUGUAUACCCCCUCGCGGGUUUUUUUUAUAAUCUGAGCCUUCUCGGCGCCUCUCGUAGGCGUUUCGAAAAUGAAUCAAAACUUUCAACAACGGAUCUCUUGGUUCUGGCAUCGAUGAAGAACGCAGCGAAAUGCGAUAAGUAAUGUGAAUUGCAGAAUUCAGUGAAUCAUCGAAUCUUUGAACGCACAUUGCGCCCGCCAGUAUUCUGGCGGGCAUGCCUGUCCGAGCGUCAUUUCAACCCUCGAACCCCUCCGGGGGGUCGGCGUUGGGGAUCGGCCCUGCCUUGGCGGUGGCCGUCUCCGAAAUACAGUGGCGGUCUCGCCGCAGCCUCUCCUGCGCAGUAGUUUGCACACUCGCAUCGGGAGCGCGGCGCGUCCACAGCCGUUAAACACCCAACUUCUGAAAUGUUGACCUCGGAUCAGGUAGGAAUACCCGCUGAACUUAAGCAUAUCAAUAAGCGGAGGAAAAGAAACCAACAGGGAUUGCCCCAGUAACGGCGAGUGAAGCGGCAACAGCUCAAAUUUGAAAUCUGGUCCCUAGGGCCCGAGUUGUAAUUUGUAGAGGAUGCUUUUGGUGAGGUGCCGCCCGAGUUCCCUGGAACGGGACGCCACAGAGGGUGAGAGCCCCGUCUGGCUGGCCGCCGAGCCUCUGUAAAGCUCCUUCGACGAGUCGAGUAGUUUGGGAAUGCUGCUCAAAAUGGGAGGUAUAUGUCUUCUAAAGCUAAAUAUUGGCCAGAGACCGAUAGCGCACAAGUAGAGUGAUCGAAAGAUGAAAAGCACCUUGAAAAGAGGGUUAAAUAGUACGUGAAAUUGUUGAAAGGGAAGCGCUUGUGACCAGACUUGGGCGCGGCGGAUCAUUCCGGGGUUCUCUCCGGUGCACUUCGCCGCGUCUAGGCCACAUCAGUUCGUCCCGGGGGGAAAAAGGUUUCCGGAACUGGUCCCUCCCGCGAAGUGUUUAAGCCCGUUGCAAAAACCCUGCGGGGGAAUGAGGACCGCAUUUC
rnacentral:sRNA from 1 species